rnacentral:tRNA from 1 species
ACCUGGCUGGUUCAGUCGGUAGAGCUUGAGACUCUUGAUCUCAGGGUCGUGAGUUCAAGCCCCAUGUUGGGUG